CCAACAUGAAGUCGUAAAAAAAUCGUCGUCAAACUCUUAUAUGGGUGUAACUCAAAUCGGAUUCGUAAAUGUGUACACUUAACAUUCGACAAUAUCGUAUAUUCAUCGUAGAAGACGUUAAAACCAAAUGAAAUACGAUUUAGUUAAGAUAUGUUGAAUGAAGUCGUAUUUAAUACGACCGAUGUCAGUUGAAAUCUUACAACAAUCGUGUAAGAUUUCUAAGUUACAUUUUAUUCGUUCAUAAAUUCCUUUGGUAUCGAAAUCGCACUUGAUUACAGAUAUAAUCGUAAAGAAUCUCACAUAAGCUUCGAUUAUCAUCACUUUUGUGUAUUGCAAACGAUCAUCACAUAAAGGGACAAAUCAAUGUCGUUUAGUGUCACAUAAUGCGUAGAAGCGUUUGACCGUGCAAUCAUCAUCGCAAAAAUGAUGAAAUCUGAUUUGUUUACUUUCACCAUUUUCGGGAAGUUGUUUUUGACCAGUUUUUCGCGGUGAAUCGAUUUACACCGGUUUCUAAAUCAUUUCCGAGGAGUUCUUUUUGUUCGGUAGGUCCUAGCAGGUGCUAGCAGUAAAAGCUGGAGCGAGGUCCAGCAAGUCAGCCCUGAGGAUGUCGACUUUGAUUAUCCCCGGAGAUUCAUCGCCCGGAAGAAAAUUAUUUUCGCUGUCAUCGAUGUCGAGAUUCAGUUUCAAUUCCCCUGGAGUAAAUUGGAUGAGGUACAACUGGAGUCGCGCAUGUUGUUCCGAGCUUGUGGAAGAGAAACUAGACUACAAGGAACUUCAGAUUCGAGCUGAUGGGUAGGCCGGUACUCCGAAAAUUGUUGGACUGGCUGGCAUUUGUGGUGAUGGCCAUAAGGAUUUUAAAAAUGAAUUGUAAGAUUGCUGCCAACAUCGUCGAGGUGUGCACGAGCAAACAAACGAAUUCCCCCCUGGGGAGAAACUACCUGGAAACGGCUGAAAGUGAUCGCAAAAAUACUCUCAUCGAUACAAAUAACAUCAGCAAGUUCGUUGUCACCGGCUCAUCUCUAACCGGUCCGGUUCAAGGACUCUCAAGGAUCGUUUGAAGCGUGUACGAUUCGGCCCCAGUUUCGUACUUGUAUCAUUUCGCAGCGAUAUUUUUUUUUUGGAAUAACUUUCGGUAAUUCGGGUGUCUUUUUCUACCUUCUGAAGGGAGUUGUUCAAACUGGCAAGCUUUGGUUGAGAAAUCGAUUAACGAAGGGAAAAGUACUAGACUCUAAGCUCUAGUCAUACUUCUAGAAUCUCCAUUG